UUAUUUAAAAUAUUUGUUUUGUUUAUUAAAUUUUAAAAUAAGUAAAUUAAUGGUUUUAUUAUAUAAUUAGAAAAAAUAUUUUUUAUUAUAGUUUACUAGUAUUGUGAAAGAUUAUGAAUUUUUAUUAUUAAGAAAAAUUAACUUUUUGUACCUUUUGUAUCAGGGUUUAUUAAUAAUUAUAAUUUAUUUAUUAAUUUCUCGAAUUUAAAAGAGUUAAAAAUUUAUUAAUUUUAUUGUGGAAUAAAUAUUUUUAAUAUAUUUUUGGUAGUGAAAUGUUAUUCGUUUUUAAAUAUAUCUAGUUUUUUAAGAAAAAAAUUUAAUUUUAAAUUUAAUUAAUUAAGAAAUUAAAUAAUUUUAAAUUUUUUAUUGAUUAAAUUUAAUUAUUUUAGGGAUAAGCUUAAAAUAAUAAAUUUAUUAGAUUAAUUAUUAUUAUUAAAAAUUAUAGGAUUAGAAGUUUCUAUUAUUAAUAAAAUGUUACAAUUUAUUUAGAUUAAAAUAUUAUUUUUUAUUAAUUUAUAAAUUUUUUAUUAAAAUAUUUAUUUAAAUAAAUUAAAUAAAGUAAUAAUGAUAAAAUUAGUAUAUUUAUGUAUUUUGUAUAUUUAUUUAUUAUGAGUUAGGUUAUUUAAAGGAAUUCAGCAAAUUAAAUUUUUCACCUGUUUAUUAAAAACAUGUCUUAUUGAAUUUAUUUUUAAGUCUGGCCUGCUCUAUGAAUUUUAAAUGGCCGCGGUAUUUUGACCGUGCUAAGGUAGCAUAAUCAUUAGUUUCUUAAUUAGAAGCUGGAAUGAAGGGUUUUAUGAAGAAAUUACUGUCUCUAUAUAAUUUUUUUAUAAUUUUAUUUUUUAGUCAAAAAGCUAAAAUUUUAUUAAAAGACGAGAAGACCCUAUAGAGUUUUAUAUAAUUUUGAAUUUUUAAUUAAUUAGUAUUAAAUAUAGGAUUAUUAAUUUUUAUUAUAUUUGAUUGGGGUGAUAGGAAAAUUUGAUAAACUUUUUUUAUUUAUAAAACAUUGAUUUAUGAUUUUUUGAUCCAUUGAUUAUGAUUAAAAGAUAAAAUUACCUUAGGGAUAACAGCGUAAUUUUCUUAGAGAGUUCUUAUUGACAAGAAAGAUUGCGACCUCGAUGUUGGAUUAAAAUAAAUAAUUGGUGUAGAAGCUAGUUUAAUUAGGUCUGUUCGACCUUUAAAAUUUUACAUGAUCUGAGUUUAAACCGGUGUGAGCCAGGUUGGUUUCUAUCUUUAAUUAUAUUUAAUAUUCUAGUACGAAAGGAUUGAUUAUUAGAAAUAGUUUUUAUUUAAUUUGAAUUAAAUUAAUAAUUAGUU
rnacentral:rRNA from 1 species